rnacentral:rRNA from 1 species
AGAGUUUUGAAACAGGCUCAGGACGAACGCUGGCGGCGUGCUUAACACAUGCAAGUCGAACGAUGAUGCCCAGCUUGCUGGGCGGAUUAGUGGCGAACGGGUGAGUAAUACGUGAGUAACCUGCCCUUGACUCUGGGAUAAGCCUGGGAAACUGGGUCUAAUACUGGAUACUACCUCUUACCGCAUGGUGGGUGGUGGAAAGGGUUUUACUGGUUUUGGAUGGGCUCACGGCCUAUCAGCUUGUUGGUGGGGUAAUGGCUCACCAAGGCGACGACGGGUAGCCGGCCUGAGAGGGUGACCGGCCACACUGGGACUGAGACACGGCCCAGACUCCUACGGGAGGCAGCAGUGGGGAAUAUUGCACAAUGGGCGGAAGCCUGAUGCAGCGACGCCGCGUGAGGGAUGACGGCCUUCGGGUUGUAAACCUCUUUCAGUAGGGAAGAAGCGAGAGUGACGGUACCUGCAGAAGAAGCGCCGGCUAACUACGUGCCAGCAGCCGCGGUAAUACGUAGGGCGCAAGCGUUGUCCGGAAUUAUUGGGCGUAAAGAGCUCGUAGGCGGUUUGUCGCGUCUGCUGUGAAAGCCCGGGGCUCAACCCCGGGUCUGCAGUGGGUACGGGCAGACUAGAGUGCAGUAGGGGAGACUGGAAUUCCUGGUGUAGCGGUGAAAUGCGCAGAUAUCAGGAGGAACACCGAUGGCGAAGGCAGGUCUCUGGGCUGUUACUGACGCUGAGGAGCGAAAGCAUGGGGAGCGAACAGGAUUAGAUACCCUGGUAGUCCAUGCCGUAAACGUUGGGCACUAGGUGUGGGGGACAUUCCACGUUUUCCGCGCCGUAGCUAACGCAUUAAGUGCCCCGCCUGGGGAGUACGGCCGCAAGGCUAAAACUCAAAGGAAUUGACGGGGGCCCGCACAAGCGGCGGAGCAUGCGGAUUAAUUCGAUGCAACGCGAAGAACCUUACCAAGGCUUGACAUUCACCGGACCGCCCCAGAGAUGGGGUUUCCCUUCGGGGCUGGUGGACAGGUGGUGCAUGGUUGUCGUCAGCUCGUGUCGUGAGAUGUUGGGUUAAGUCCCGCAACGAGCGCAACCCUCGUUCUAUGUUGCCAGCACGUGAUGGUGGGGACUCAUAGGAGACUGCCGGGGUCAACUCGGAGGAAGGUGGGGAUGACGUCAAAUCAUCAUGCCCCUUAUGUCUUGGGCUUCACGCAUGCUACAAUGGCCGGUACAAAGGGUUGCGAUACUGUGAGGUGGAGCUAAUCCCAAAAAGCCGGUCUCAGUUCGGAUUGAGGUCUGCAACUCGACCUCAUGAAGUCGGAGUCGCUAGUAAUCGCAGAUCAGCAACGCUGCGGUGAAUACGUUCCCGGGCCUUGUACACACCGCCCGUCAAGUCACGAAAGUUGGUAACACCCGAAGCCGGUGGCCUAACCCCUUGUGGGAGGGAGCCGUCGAAGGUGGGACUGGCGAUUGGGACU